AGAGUUUGAUCCUGGCUCAGGAUGAACGCUAGCUACAGGCUUAACACAUGCAAGUCGAGGGGCAGCAUGGUCUUAGCUUGCUAAGGCCGAUGGCGACCGGCGCACGGGUGAGUAACACGUAUCCAACCUGCCGUCUACUCUUGGACAGCCUUCUGAAAGGAAGAUUAAUGCAAGAUGGCAUCAUGAGUCCACAUGUUCACAUGAUUAAAGGUAUUCCGGUAGACGAUGGGGAUGCGUUCCAUUAGAUAGUAGGCGGGGUAACGGCCCACCUAGUCUUCGAUGGAUAGGGGUUCUGAGAGGAAGGUCCCCCACAUUGGAACUGAGACACGGUCCAAACUCCUACGGGAGGCAGCAGUGAGGAAUAUUGGUCAAUGGGCGAGAGCCUGAACCAGCCAAGUAGCGUGAAGGAUGACUGCCCUAUGGGUUGUAAACUUCUUUUAUAAAGGAAUAAAGUCGGGUAUGCAUACCCGUUUGCAUGUACUUUAUGAAUAAGGAUCGGCUAACUCCGUGCCAGCAGCCGCGGUAAUACGGAGGAUCCGAGCGUUAUCCGGAUUUAUUGGGUUUAAAGGGAGCGUAGAUGGAUGUUUAAGUCAGUUGUGAAAGUUUGCGGCUCAACCGUAAAAUUGCAGUUGAUACUGGAUAUCUUGAGUGCAGUUGAGGCAGGCGGAAUUCGUGGUGUAGCGGUGAAAUGCUUAGAUAUCACGAAGAACUCCGAUUGCGAAGGCAGCCUGCUAAGCUGCAACUGACAUUGAGGCUCGAAAGUGUGGGUAUCAAACAGGAUUAGAUACCCUGGUAGUCCACACGGUAAACGAUGAAUACUCGCUGUUUGCGAUAUACUGCAAGCGGCCAAGCGAAAGCGUUAAGUAUUCCACCUGGGGAGUACGCCGGCAACGGUGAAACUCAAAGGAAUUGACGGGGGCCCGCACAAGCGGAGGAACAUGUGGUUUAAUUCGAUGAUACGCGAGGAACCUUACCCGGGCUUAAAUUGCAGAUGAAUUACGGUGAAAGCCGUAAGCCGCAAGGCAUCUGUGAAGGUGCUGCAUGGUUGUCGUCAGCUCGUGCCGUGAGGUGUCGGCUUAAGUGCCAUAACGAGCGCAACCCUUGUUGUCAGUUACUAACAGGUUCUGCUGAGGACUCUGACAAGACUGCCAUCGUAAGAUGUGAGGAAGGUGGGGAUGACGUCAAAUCAGCACGGCCCUUACGUCCGGGGCUACACACGUGUUACAAUGGGGGGUACAGAGGGCCGCUACCACGCGAGUGGAUGCCAAUCCCAAAAACCUCUCUCAGUUCGGACUGGAGUCUGCAACCCGACUCCACGAAGCUGGAUUCGCUAGUAAUCGCGCAUCAGCCACGGCGCGGUGAAUACGUUCCCGGGCCUUGUACACACCGCCCGUCAAGCCAUGGGAGCCGGGGGUACCUGAAGUGCGUAACCGCGAGGAGCGCCCUAGGGUAAAACUGGUGACUGGGGCUAAGUCGUAACAAGGUA
rnacentral:rRNA from 1 species